rnacentral:rRNA from 1 species
CCUACGGUGGGCAGCAGUGAGGAAUAUUGGUCAAUGGACGAGAGCCUGAACCAGCCAAGUAGCGUGAAGGAUGACUGCCCUAUGGGUUGUAAACUUCUUUUAUAAAGGAAUAACACGAGGCACGUUUGCCUCUUUGCAUGUAAUUUAGGAAUAAGGACCGGCUAACUCCGUGCCAGCAGCCGCGGUAAUACGGAGGUUCCGAGCGUUAUCCGGAUUUAUUGGGUGUAAAGGGAGCGUAGGUGGGUUGUGAAGUCGGUUGUGAAAGUUUGCGGCUCAACCGGAGACGUGCAAUUGAUACUGGCAGUCUUGAGUACAGGAGAGGUAAGCGGAAUUCGUGGUGUAGCGGUGAAAUG